GUAAAGCCCAGCACAGUGUCUGGCAUCUGGUAAGCUCCCAUCAUGUCAGCUGUUGGCGUAGGUGGUGUUGGUGAGAUGCGGGGCCUGGAAUUCACUGGACGCUCUGGUGCAGAGUCUGAACAGAACAGUCACCUAAAAUGCCAGCCACUGCUGUCAGAGUGUCGGGAGGAGC
rnacentral:lncRNA from 1 species